UAGUAAUCGUAGGUCAGCAUACUACGGUGAAUACGUUCCCGGGCCUUCGUACACACCGCCCGUCAAACCAUGAGAGUUGGCAACACCCGAAGUCGGUAGUCUAACCGCAAGGAGGACGCCACCAAGGUGGGUCGAUGAUUAGGGUUAAGUCGUAACAAGGUAGC
rnacentral:rRNA from 1 species